GCUCUCUGGACCUGACCAUAGGCAGGACUUUCCAAUCUCUCCUCCUGCUCAUGCCAAUUUUUGUCCAUAGUUGGCCAUCAGGGAGCGCUGAACAUGGACUCAGGCAAGGAGUUCAGAGACGUAGGAAAAGGACCCCCCUUACUUCGUGGUGUGGGCAGCCUUGAUAAGGAAGCUCCUGUAGCACCUCUCCGAAAUUGUUGUGCUGCUGAGCAACUUGAGGUAAAGGCAUAAAAAAGGGUUAGACUACAAGCACGCACGCACACGCACACACGCACCCAGACAAACACACAGGAAAGGAGGAGAAGAUGAUGACGGCAGCGCUCCC